GGCGUGCAGGUAAGCCGACAAGCCGGGGGUUGCGGGCAUGGCCGAGGCCAGGAAGCGGCGGGAGCUGCUUCCCCUGAUCUACCAGCAUCUGCUGCAGGCGGGCUUUGUGCGCGCGGCGCGGGAAGUGAAGGAGCAGAGCGGCCAGAAAAGUUUCCUGACUCAGCCUGUAACCCUUUUGGACAUCUACACACACUGGCAACAAACCUCGGAGAUUGGCCAGAAGCGGAAGGCAGAGGAAGAUGCAGCCCUGCAGGCCAAGAAGACCCGCGUGUCAGACCCCAUUACCAGCUCCGAGAGCUCAGAAGAGGAGGAGGAGGUGGCGCAGGAGGCAGAAGCAGGAACCACCAAAGCCAUCCCGGCACUAGCAUCUACCAACUCCUCAGCCACGGGGAUGGUUUUGCCUUCAAGUGUGAAAGAAAAAGCCAAGGCAAAGACCAAGAAAGCCAGCAAGACAGUGAACUCCACGGCACACCCUGCCUCCGGGAAGGCAGUGGCCCACCUCCUCACCAGGAAGUCACCCCAGAAGGCGGCAGGGCCCUCGGCAAAUACCAUCCUGGUCUCAGAAACUGAGGAGGAGGGCGGUGUCUCGGCCCUCAGAAUCACUGCCAAGCCUGGAAUGGCGGCCGCCAGCCAGGCCGCCAGCUCCAGCGAAGACACCUCCGGCUCGAGCGAUGAGACGUACGUGGAGGUGAAACCUGCAGUGAAACCACCACAGGUCAAAGCCUCGGCAGCUGCGGCCAAGGAGUCUCCAAGGAGAAGGGCAGCCCCGACCCCAGGGAAGGCGGGAUGUGUGACACCCCAAGUCAGAGGGGGUGCCGUGACCCCAGCCAGCAGGGCCAAGAAGCCAGAAGAGGUCUCAGAGAGCAGCGAGGAGUCCGAGAGUGAGGAGGGGGCCCCUGCGGGGACACCCAGCCAGGUGAAGACCUCCCAGAAACCUGUCCAGGUCAGAGCUGCCUCGGGUCCUGCCAAGGGGACCCCUGGGAAGGGGGCCACCCCAGCACCCCCUGGGAAGGCAGGGAGGCCAGAGGAGGACUCGGAGAGCAGCAGCGAGGAGUCAGACAGCGAGGAGGAGACGCCAGCUGCCCAGACCCUGCUGCAGGCAAAGCCCUCAGGGAAGCUCCCCCAGGUCAGAGCCACCGCAGCAGCACCUGCCCAGGUGCUUUCCCCUGGGAAAGGGGCCCCUCCAGCACCCCGUGGCAAGGCAGGGCCUGCAGCCAUCCAGGCCCAGACCAGGGGGCAGGAGGAGGACUCAGAGAGCAGCAGCGAGGAGUCAGACAGCGAGGGGGAGGCGUCCACAGCCGUGCCCCACACCACGAGCCUGGCUCAGGCAAAGCCCUUGGGGAAAAACUCCCAGGUCAGAGCUGCCUCAGCCGCAAGCACGGGGCCCUCAGCGAAGAGCGCUGUCCCAGCGCUCCCUCAGAAGGCAAGGGCUGUAGCCGCCCAGGUGGCAAAGUGGGAGGAGGACUCGGAGAGCUGCAGCGAGGAGGAGUCGGACAGCGAGGGGGAGGCGCUGAGAACAGCAGCCUUGACCCAGGCAAAGUCCUCGGGGAAAGUCCUGCAGGUCAGACCUGCCUCAGGUCCCACCCAGGGCCCCCCUCAGAAGGCCGGGCCUGCAGCCGCCCAGGUCAAGACCCAAAGGUCCAAGGAAGACUCGGAGAGCAGUGAGGAGGAGUCAGACAGUGAGGACGAGGCCCCCACAGCCAAGACUCCAGCCCAGGCAAAAUCAGCUGUGAAAACUUCUCAGACCAAGGUCUCCCCAAGGAAGGGCACCCCCAUUACACCCGCAUCUGCCAAGGUCCCACCAGUGCAAGUAAGCGCACCAGCCCCCUGGAAAGCAGGAACGGUGACUUCGCCAGCCUGCACAUCAUCCCCAGCCGUGGUCAGGGGCACCCAGAGGCCAGAGGAGGACUCUUCAAGCAGCGAGGAGCCAGAGAGCGAGGAGGAGACGGCUCCUGCCACAUCUGUGGGACAGGUGAAGUCUGUAGGGAAAAGCCUCCCGGUGAAAGCUGCCUCAGCGCCCACCAAGGGGCCCUCAGGGCAACGGACCACUCCAGGGCUCCCUGGGAAGGCAGGACCUGCCGUGGCCCAGGUCAAAGCUGAGGUGCAGGAAGACUCAGAGAGCAGUGAGGAGGAGUCGGACAAUGAGGAGGCGGCCUCAGCUGCAGCACAGGUGAAGACCUCAGUGAAAACCACUCAGACCAAAGCCAACCCAGCUGCCACCAGAGUGGCUUCAGCCAAAGGGGCAGCAUCAGCUCCUGGAAAAGGGGUUUCUGCAGCUGCUCAAGCCAAAGUGGGGUCCCCAGCCAAGGUAAAGCCACCAGCAAGAGCCCCCCAGAGCAGUGCCGUCUCGGGCAGGGGCCAGGUGUCUGUGCUGGCUAUGGGGAAGGCACUGGCUGCAGCAGCCCAGGCCCAGCUGGGGCCGGUCGGGGGCCCACAGGAGGACUCGGAGAGCAGUGAGGAGGAGUCGGACAGUGAGGGAGAGGCGCCCGCUCAGGCGAAGCCCUCAGGGAAGACCCCCCAGGUCAGAACUGCCUCAGCCUCCGCCAAGGGGUCCCCCAGGAAAGGGGCUGCCCCAGCACCCCCUGGGAAGGCAGGAGCCCCAGCCGCCCAGGCCGGGAAGCGGAAAGAGGACUCGGAGAGCAGCAGCGAGGAGGAGUCAGACAGUGACGGGGAGACGCCAGCAGCUGUGCCCCCAGCCCAGAAGGAGGGUAACUCCAAAACUGCCAGAAGCAAGACCCUGGCCCCAGCGCCCCCGGAGAAGAAGGCAGAGGGGUCCUCAACCAGCAGUGAUGAGCUGCCAGCGAGACAGGUGAUUAAAACCCCUCUGAUUUUUGUCGACCCUAAUCGUAGUCCAGCUGGCCCAGCUGCUACCCCCGCCCAAACCCAGGCUACAAGCACCCCGAGGAAGGCCCAGGCCUCAGAGAGCACACCCAGGAGCUCCUCUGAGAGUGAGGAUGAGGACGUGAUCCCCGCUACGCAGUGCUUGACUCCUGCCAUUAGGACCAGCGUGGCAACUGUGCCCACGGCCCACCCCAGGGCAGCCCUCAGAGCCAGCAUGGUGGGGGCCGGCAGCAAUGAGGACACCAGUCGGGUGUCUGAAGGCAAGAAACAGGAGACGCCAGCCACUCAGGUGACAAAGAGGAACCCAACUCACCUCCCGCUGACCCAGGCUGCCCUGAAGGUCCUUGCCCAGAAAGCCAGUGAGGCCCAGCCUCCUGCUGCCAGGACCCUGUCUUCAAGUGGGACCGACAGUGCUCGGGGAACACUGCCCAUGACGAGUCCCCAGAGCACCCCCGCGCAGGCCAGAGGGGCCAACAAGCUCAGAAAGCCUGAGGUUCCUGCAACCCAGCGGGCCAUAGCCACUCCCUCGGGACGCCCCAAGGCCAAGGCCUCUGGGACCUCAGAUGACAGCAAGGACAGCAGUGGCAGCUCUUCAGGGAGUGAAGAAGAUGCUGAGGGGCCCCAGGUGGCCCCAUUGACCCACAGGCCAGUAGGUCCAGCCCCCUCCAGGAGGGAGACGUUGGUGGAAGAGACCACAGCAGACUCCAGCGAUGAUGAGGUGGUGGCACCUUCCCAGUCUCUCCUCUCAGGUUAUGUGACCCCUGGGCUGACUCCGGCCAGUUCCCAGGCUUCAAAGGCCACUCCCAAGCCAGACCCCAACCCCUCGGUUUCCUCUACUCCGGCCACCGGAGAUGCCCCAGAUGGCAAGCAGGAAGUGGAGCCCCAACAAGCAGCAGGCACCAUGUCCCCUAAAACAGGCAGAAGAGAGGCUAGCGCCACACCUCAGAAGACCGGGAAGGGGCCCAGGAGCCCCCAGGCCUCCAUGCAGGCGCUGCAGAGCGACAUCACCCGGCGCCUGCUGAGCGAGCCCUGGCCCCUGAGUGAGGCGCAGGUGCAGGCGUCGGUGGUGAAGGUGUUGGCGGAGCUGCUGGAGCAGGAGAAGAAGAAGGCCGUGGGUGCGGCCAAGGAGGGCAGCCGGAAGGGCCGCCUGGGCAACAAGCGGAAGCUCUCCGAAGACCAGACAGCCGCCGGUGCCCCCAGGAGCAAGAAGAAGAAGCAGCUGGCGGCCGGGGAUGGCGGGGAGCGUGUGGUGUCCCCAGAAAAGGCCCCCAGGACUUCUAAGGGGAAAUCCAAGAGGGACAAAGCGAGUGGUGACAUGAAGGAGAAGAAGGAGAAGGAGUCUCCCGGCUCCCAGGGGGCCAAGGAGAAGCCAGAAGGGGAGCCGGGGAAGGUGAAGGGUGAGGGGGGAGACCAAGGCAACCCAAAGAGCAAGAAGGAGAAGAAGAAAGCCGACAAGAGUAAAAAAAAAAGACAAGGAAAAAAAAGAAAAGAAGAAGAAAGCAAAAAAGGCCUCAACCAAAGACCCUGACUCACCAUUGCAGAAGAAAAAGAAGAAAAAGAAGAAGACGGCAGAGCAGACUGUCUGAGGGACGCCAGGCGGCAGAAGAUGAUGGCCAGCUGCGGUGUCCGUGCUGGCCAAGCCAGUGAGCCCUGCAGAAAGGCUGGUCCCGGGAGGAGGAACCACGCCCAGCUCCCGUGACCUCCACUCACUGACCCUGGCCUGACUUCUGUGCCGACAAAGGAUGCCUCGUAUGGACAUGUACAAUACAUAUAUAUAUUUUUUAAGUGACCUGCCCCUCCCUUCUCAGACCCAACAUGCCCAGAGGUCUCGGGACUUGCCACCUCUGCCCUGCAGACCCAGUGAGGCUCAGCCUGCGACUCCUUCCAUGCCCCUGGUCUCCAGCUAUGCUGAGGCUUUGUCCUUUUUGUCAGUUUUCUCCCAUUUUGUUUGUGUGUUUUUUGUAAUAACUCAGAAAAUAAAAGACGUGAAGGAAAGGUGCAAGUUCCCAUUGCAUCUGGGGCAAA